UUUUGGUUUUGUUUUUAGGAUUUAUUAUGGUGAAAUCACGUAUGGUGUUAAGUGUUUUCAGGAAUAGGUUCCAAAUGCAGAAGAUACGAAUUUUUUUUUUGUUCCAGGAGCUUUGGAUCGAUCGAUCCUCCUUAAAGAUCGACCAAUCCCGUUGGUUUGCUGUGGGUAUCUCCAAGUUCAAUAAUGUUGCAGAUCGGUCGAUCCCACCCUGAGAUUGGUCGAUUCCGUCACCACCCUUGCCAACACCACUCCAACACUAGAUGCGAGAUCACCGUUUCUAUCUCAUCAUCAGUGCUAUAGUUGUAAGUUUGAUCUACUUCAUCAUCGUCAGAGAAACAGUCAAGAGAAUCCAGGGUGACAUCUUUGUCCAUAAGUGGAGGGCAUAUUAGUGAUGUUUUUGAGUACAGUACUCCCAAAUGAUGUGUUUUCUCCAUAGGUGUUAUGAGUAAGUGAAGUGAGGGUUGACUUCGGAGUGUCACCUGAGAUCCGCCAUAGUACAUUGUGUGAGAAACGGAUUAAAUGAAUGGGAUGAGAGUUUACUUUUAGUCAAGUCCUUCGAUCCUGUAUUAGUAAUGUACACAGAUAUUCUCAAUUGAUCGCGGUAGUGGGGAGCUAUUUAUUGGUACCGGAGAAAAAUCUGCUGAUCUACGACUUCUUUUGGUUGCGGACAUUGAAUUUUCCAAGUUUUCAUCAGGCAACUAACAUUAAGGAUUGUGGAUACCAUAUUCUACCAAGAAAUGCUAAUAUCUUUGCUCCAUUAAGGGUUCAAGAAUCCACAAGAAGGGCAAUGGUUUUCCUUGGAUAUUGACUACUAUCACCAUCUUCCCUCGAGACAAUCUGGAACCGCGGGACUCUCACGGAAUGUGAGUGAGAGACCAUCAGCUGGCAGCCUGGGCAUAACGACAUGAUCUGAUUUUGGCAAACCUAAGGACGCAGACGACAAUGAUACCAUUAGCUACAUUGCAGGCUUGGUAAAUGCCGGUCAGCGUAGGAACCCCACAAGUUUCAUCAGCCAAGAUCAGCUCCAGGGUUUCCACAGUGCUGCUUGUGUAUUGACGGCACGAGUGAAGGACUUUGACUUGCACUCGCCAUGCGGUCUUAUACGGGCGGACGUCUCUCAAAAAAGCGAAUGUUGCUGCCAUUUCUCUCAAUGUUUUUAGCUAUGCGGAUGUAGGUGUGAAGAAUUGUGUGUUGUGUUUCUCUUUAGAAAUUGAUAUUUAUAGUUGGAGAAAUGGUUGCUCAGCAAGGAGUUAUACGAUCCUUAAGCAAUAAUUUAUGUAUUCCUAUUUGAGUUGUGAGAAUAUUGCAGAACAAUAUUUAGUUUCUAAAGAAGAUAUGUACACAAAUAAAUGAAUUGCUUGCGUACAAAGUUAUAUAUUUGCUAACAUUGUGAUUUCCUUAAC